rnacentral:lncRNA from 11 species
GCUCUCAGGGUACUUACUUCUCUUGCUUGCUAACUCCUUCAGCCUUCAGGAUCAUGGUGAUGAUGGGGAGCCAGCUUUGCCUUCUCCUUGCCUUCUUUUUCUGCUCUCUACCCACAACGCAGAGCCACCUCUGGGCAUGGUUGUAUUCAUUGCCUGAGUACAGCGCAGAGACACCUUCCAAAAAUGCUGGACUGCUAUCUAAUCUAGAGCUGAAGAUGACUACAUGUAGCCAUGAGAAAAAAUGCCCCGAAGGCUUCUUCUGUGACUACCAUUUUGGGCUCUGCUUCAACCUCAGGGAUGAAGGCGACUUCUGCCGCCAGGAUGCCCAUUGUGCUGAGGGACUCAUCUGCAUGUUUGGCAAAUGCCAAGAGAGGGUUCCUGAAGGCCAGGAAGGUGCCCGCUGCCAUCACGACAAAGACUGUGCUCCUGAGCACUGCUGCGCCCGCCAUCAUGGGGAGAUGGUUUGCAGGAAAAGACUACUUUUAGACCAAGGAUGCUACGUCCCAGAAGGAGGUGUUGCUUUCAGCAUGAACCAGGUCUGCCCCUGCUUAGAAGGACUGGUGUGCAAAAGGACACCCCUUAAACGAGAGGUCCCGUUCGAGUACCAGACAUACAAAAAUGAGUGGCGAUGCCAACAAAAAUAGGCAAAAGGAAGAUACAAAAUGUUUGAAAUUGCUGUAUUUAUUCCGUGUAAAUAACGCUGUACAUAGAUGCAUUCUGUUCUCUUCUGUUGAAUGUUUGCAAAAUAAAGGUGUUGGAACUGUGUAACCCAAAUA